rnacentral:lncRNA from 1 species
AGGAGGCCAGAGCUAACACUCUGCCAAAAAAAAAAAACAAAAACCAAAAGCUUUGGUUAGAGUUGAGGAAUCUAGGCACUGUGGGGUACAAAGACAAGCAGAAGUUCCUGGGGAGCAGUGGCAACUCAAAUAAGCAGGAAUUCCAGAGCAGAAAACCCCUCAUUACUUUCUGGCUACUCACAGUGUGUCUUGGAUCAGUAGCAUCAGCGUCUCCCUGGAGCUGUCUAGAAAUGCUGAGUCUCAGGCCCCACUCCAGAACUUCUGAAUCAGAAUCUGCAUUUUCACUAGCUCUCCACGUAGUUCCUGCUUAUCAAAGUCUGUGGCGGCCGCUCCUUGUCAUCCCCGCGUGUGCUGGGAGAGAUGGUCGAAGGGCAACCGGGGAGCCAGUCGACCAGACGCGGGGCGGCCUCCGGGGAGGAGGCGACGACUGAGUAGCGGCCUGUGCGCCGGGAGGCGCCGGGGCCUGGGGGCGCCGAGGCUGCGGGGAGCGGAGGCAACAGCGGAGGCAGCGCUGGCGGACCUGGGGAAAAGGCCUGAGGCUCGCAGGAAGAGGAGGAGGUUGAUGCUCUCAUUUCCACCAUUUGAUACCAUCUGUUUCUCACACACAUCCAUGAGGGAAGAAUCAUUCCCAUUUAACAGACAAUGUAACUGGGCCUGAAUAUAGCUCAGCGACUUGCCCCAGGCCCACCAGGAAGUGGAUAAAGCCAUGCUCAACCCAGCACUUCUUCUCUCUACCUUCCACCGAUCCUGCCUGCUCAUCUUCCCUCCUUGGUGAAGGCAUGUGUGCUGUGCUCUGCUUAACUAAUUUCCCUCAGAUAUUCGCAUUUCUGUCUUUACAAUUUGGCAUCCCAGUGAGGUUUCCCUUUGUAUAUUUUCCGGUUCCUAUAUUCCCAUUAUUCAGGUAUCAUCACUCAAUAACCAUUUGACAGCAGUAAUGCUUUUCACAUGGAAAGAAUUGGGUUUUUAUUGAUGGCAAAUGUUGUGAUGAACUUUCAUGCCCACUUGGAGCCGGAGCACUUUUUUAUAGAAUGAACCACAAUGAGAAGCGUUUCCAAGAAAUGUCUUUGGAGUGUGGACUGAGAUGUACGUUUAGGAACAGGUCCUGUGGCCAGAGUGGGGAGAGAGGGGGCUUCCCAUUGUCAAAAUCUCAUCAAUCAAAAUGUAUAAUAGCAACAUUAUUAAUAACCCUAUAGUUGCAUUGCACUUGGUGCUCUUCCAAGCACUUCCCUAGAAUCCUAAAAUGAAGGCAGGGCAGAUAUUAUAUCCAUGUUACAGGUUAAACAACAUUGUAACAGGACUGAUAACACCAUGAAUGAGAAGUCAUUUGAUC